rnacentral:rRNA from 1 species
AUGGGGUGCAGCAGGCGCGAAACUUCUGCAAUGACCGUAAGGUUGACAGAGCAACUCCGAGUGCUCAUGCGAAGCAUGGGCUUUUGCCAAGUGCAAAAAGCUUGGCGAAUAAGGGGUGGGCAAGACCGGUGGCAGCAGCCGCGGUAAUACCGGCGCCCCAAGUGGUGAUCAUUUUUAUUGGGCCUAAAGCGUCCGUAGCCUGUUUGGUUAGUCUUUGGUGAAAUCCAUGCGCUCAACGUAUGGGCGAGCCAGAGAUACUGCCAAGCUAGGGACCGGGAGAAGCUAGGGGUAUUCCUAGGGUAGGAGUAAAAUCCUGUAAUCCUAGGAGGACCACCGGUGGCGAAGGCGCCUAGCUAGAACGGGUCCGACGGUGAGGGACGAAAGCUGGGGUAGCGAACGGGAUUAGAUACCCCGGUAGUCCCAGCUGUAAACGCUGCCUGUUAGGUGUUGCACAUUGUUCGACAGUGUGCAGUGCCGAAGCGAAGGCAUUAAACAGGCCGCCUGGGGAGUACGGUCGCAAGGCUGAAACUUAAAGGAAUUGGCGGGGGAGCAC